rnacentral:lncRNA from 1 species
CUUGGGCGUGAGCACCGCCCCCUGUCCGGACGCAGGGUACUGGGGCACCUCGAACUGUGGCACCUCACCCUUCUCCGGGGCCACGUCUUGGGGACUCCGACAGCCCCAAAUAAGCCCUCGGGGACUGGGGUUGUGAAAAGCGAGGUCGUGAAGACGCCGGCCUCAUACCGAAGGGUAGGACGGUGAGGUCAGCCCCGUCCCACUCCAACUAAAAUCAACCUGACAGGAGGUGGUUCAGGAAAACGGUCCCAUUUGGCACCUCAAGUCUAGGUCCCUCAAGUCUCUACAACAGUAUGCAAAGAAAAUGUUCAUC